rnacentral:rRNA from 1 species
GAUGAACGCUGGCUACAGGCUUAACACAUGCAAGUCGUGGGGAAACGGCAUUAUGUGCUUGCACAUUCUGGACGUCGACCGGCGCACGGGUGAGUAUCGCGUAUCCAACCUGCCCCUUACUUGGGGAUACCCCGUUGAAAGACGGCCUAAUACCCGAUGUGUUUCAUUGACGGCAUCCGAUAUGAAACAAAGGUUUUCCGGUAAGGGGUGGGGAUGCGUCUGAUUAGCUUGUUGGCGGGGCAACGGCCCACCAAGGCAACGAUCAGUAGGGGUUCUGAGAGGAAGGUCCCCCACAUUGGAACUGAGACACGGUCCAAACUCCUACGGGAGGCAGCAGUGAGGAAUAUUGGUCAAUGGACGCAAGUCUGAACCAGCCAAGUAGCGUGCAGGAUGACGGCCCUAUGGGUUGUAAACUGCUUUUAUGUGGGAAUAAAUUGGCGCACGUGUGCGCCAUUGCAUGUAC